rnacentral:rRNA from 1 species
CUCUAGAGAUUCCUACGGGAGGCAGCAGUGGGGAAUAUUGGACAAUGGGCGCAAGCCCGAUCCAGCCAUGCCGCGUGAGUGAUGACGGCCUUAGGGUUGUAAAGCUCUUUUAACAGGGACGAUAAUGACGGUACCUGUAGAAUAAGCCCCGGCAAACUUCGUGCCAGCAGCCGCGGUAAUAAUCGUCGA